rnacentral:misc_RNA from 1 species
GAUGAAGAACGUACCGAAAUGCGAUACGUAAUGUGAAUUGCAGAAUUCAGUGAAUCAUCGAGUCUUUGAACGCACAUUGCGCCCCCUGGUAUUCCGGGGGGCAUGCCUGUCCGAGCGUCAUUGCUGCCCUCAAGCCCGGCUUGUGUGUUGGGUCUCGUCCCCCUUCCCGGGGGGACGGGCCCGAAAGGCAGCGGCGGCACCGUGUCCGGUCCUCGAGCGUAUGGGGCUUUGUCACCCGCUCUGUAGGCCCGGCCGGCGCUUGCCGAUCAACCAAAACUUUUUUCCAGGUUGACCUCGGAUCAGGUAGGGAUACCCGCUGAACUUAAGCAUAUCAAUAAGCGAGGA